AUCCAACUCAAUCAAAUUUGAAUGAUCUUUGAGGCAUUGGUGCUUAACCUGAAACAUUAACUCAAUUGUAAGCUCAAAAGACCACUAGGACUAGCCUAGGGUCAAAAACAAAUAAGAAAUCCAAAACAGCAAGCCACAUUCAAUCAAAAUCAAAAUCAAUCAUUUAAGAAGCAAGCACAAUUGGAUUCACAAUCAUAUCAUGCAUCAUUGUCAUUUCAUACACAAAAGAAUGCAAAGCAUGGCAAAGGAAGCAUACAAAAGGUCAAC
rnacentral:lncRNA from 1 species